GUCUCUUCUGUUGCUCCACAUUCAACAUAUGCCAAUGCUUCUGAAGCCACAGGUAUGGGUAAGCAUUAUUUUAAUUCCUAUAGGUUAAAUUGUCAGGAGACAACAGUAGUUUUUUCUGCAUAAUAUUGGCAUUUGGAAUUUACAGAAGACUGUCUUGCAGCUAACAGAUGUUCUAUUUCAAUGAGUGUCUCUUGGUCUGAUGAAUACAGUGGGAAACACUGACUACCCAAAAGGGAAGUAACUUGCCUGCGGUCAUACAGCCUGUUGAGAUUCAAACCAAAUUGUGCCCAAAGAGGGCAGUGUUAUCAUGGUUAUAAAACAAGAAAACUCAACAUUAUCCCAUGCACAGUGCUCCCAGGUGCAUCAGGUUGAAAGGCUUACUUGGUCAGGGCAGCAAGGAGUAGGAAUACUGAGCAAAAUUCACCCCAAACAACAUCGGUUGAGACUGCAUAUGCCUGAGUCUUGUGCAUUGUUUUAUGAGGCCUUUUUUGAUGUUUGAAAAGUUUCUUUGCAAAAACACAUGUCAUUGUGGGUUGUGGGAAAGCAGAUACACCAAAAACUAACUUAAGUGUCAACAUCAUUGCUUUCAUCAUCCACUGUUUCCUUUGAAUACCAGUAGAAUUUGGUCAGAGGAAGAAGCUGAAUGCCUCAAGAGCCUUCCACUGUUGGAGCCUCAUGAGAAACAACUUUUAAAUUCACAGUCUCUGAGUUUGGUGUGUGGUUGGCUAUCUGCCAUGAACCAUGGGACAAACAGGAAAAGUGUGGCCUCAGCCCGGUUAGCCAGCACUAUGUUCACAGAGCAGGGGGGUGAAGAGGAUGAAGAGGAAGAGGAUAAAAAUACAGGUAAGGUCUCAGUAGCUACAGUCACAAAUGCAGUUCUACUUUCUCAAUACUCCUCUGGUGGAUUCUGUUUCUGCUCCAGCUCCAUGGAGUGAAGCAGUAGCAGGACAAGCAGCAUGCUAAGGAAGUGGUCAGAGGGGCAGUAGGAAGCACUUCCUUUCUCAGAAGACCUAGGGGGCAGAAACUAAGUAUCAUGGCCUCUUCAUUCAAAAAUCUCCUCUCUACCUCAUAGCUUUUUUCUAUCUGAUAGAUACUCAUUUUCUGUGUUCUCCAUUCUCUUUUUUUAAGUCACUUUACUUAUCUGAAACACAGAGUCAAAGAGAGAAAGAGAUGUUCCAUCUGCUGGUUCACUACCCAAAUGGCCUCAGUGGUUAAGGCUGGGCCAGACUGAUGCCAGGGGCCUAGAGCUCUAUCUGGGUCUUCCCAGGGGCCCUAGCAACUCUGGCCAUCUUCUUCUGCUUUCUCAGGUGCAUUAGCAGGCAGCUGGACUGGAAGUAGAGCAGCCAGGAAUUGAACUGGCACUCAUAUGGGAUGUCAGUGUUGUAGGCCACAGCUUAACCUGCAAUGCCACAAUGCCAACCCCUAUAUUCCCCAUUCAAUCACAUUUCUCACCUCUGUGCUAUUUUCUGUCCUGGAGGAAGACCCCUGUAUUCAGUCAUGAGAGUCCAGACUGGGAAUAAUCUUAACAUUCAGCCAUCUGUCCAUUCAUUCAUUCCUCAUGCAUCUACCAUAGGCCCCCAUACCUGGCAUGGAUUCUGACCUUGGGUCUCAUCACAGAUGAUCAUUCUUUACCUCCUUGUCUAGGUGGAAAUCAGAGAGGAAGUGACCUCUCCAAACUGUCCCAAGCACCUUGAUAGCAGCAUAUCAUUUCCAAUAAUGAAAUGUCUCAAAUAGAUUGAACAGAAAAAGAUUAAAUUUGUUAUUAGAUGGAGGGUUCCUUCCCUGCAUCACAUACUCUGUGCUUCAGGCAUUCAGAGGGGACUAGAUGGUGUUUGGUGAGCAGCCUCAUGUCACAGUAGAUAGUGAUGGUUGACUGUGUCCCAAAAUUAAGUAUGGUCCAAGGUGACAUUAAAGAUAUCCAGGUCCAAGUUAAAU
rnacentral:lncRNA from 1 species